UCGAAGAGAUACGUCACUCAAACUACGAACCAGGCGUAAGCAGGAAAUGCAAAUAAUAUUUGUAGCUAGAAUUCACUCAUUAGCUAAAGUCAAAGGUCAUUUACGGAACAUUUAUGACAUUUUCAACGUUUGUGUCGAGUAGUAAAGCUUCACCUCAUAGCCAGCUCGUUUUCCAUCGGCAAAUGAAUGCCAAAACAUCUGCUAGCCAGUACACUAUAGUUACUGCUGGCUAGCUAAACUAGAUUAAUGUAUUUGUCACAGAUGUAAUCGCAAGGUACGAGUACAGUGCAAUUCUAAUGAUCCAUGCUACAAAAGUGCAGUUCAAAAAAGAGAAGGGAAUGAGAUAAUAGAAUUUAGGGUAUGGAAUGACCAUAAGGGGAGCACGACCCACGAACCCGAGAGCUUGGGUGGCACCAAACCCAGUUCAGCCCCCCAAAUCACAACCAGCACCAGGACAUCAGACAGGGCAGGUGAGCCCUUCAGUCCAUACAGACAAGGACAGUUCAUGAAGAAACACAAGGUCUACACAUGAGAAAGAGCAGUUUCACUGUCACCUAAAAUCCAUUUGAACAACAAAUCAUUUUAAUUUUGGUAUUUUAAUUCAUAUGUUGAGUAUAUAGGAAUCUCUUGUUGCUGCUAAAUGCAAAUAAAUAUUUACAUGUGUA